rnacentral:Y_RNA from 1 species
GGCUGGUCCAAAGGGAGUGAGUGAGCUUCCUCAAUUGUUGUUCACUGUCAGUUAUGGAUUGAACUGCUGUCCUGUGCCUUCCCCUCUUCUCACUACUGCACUUAACUACAGAU